UUGCUCAGCAUCGGUUCUGUCAACCUGCAAGGUUACAAUUUUUCUUGCUCUUAUCCUGUUCGAUAAAAUGGUUGUGGGCUAAACAUUGUUUUUUUUUGUUUCCUUGCCUGUCCAGGUGGUUUGCUCGACCACUCACCGUCGGUUCUGUCAAUAUGCAAGGUUAGACAUUUCUUGCUCUUGUCCUGAUCAAUAAAAUGGUUGUGGGCUAAAUCAUUUUUUUGGUUUCCAUGCCUGUCCAUGUGCUUUGCUCAAUCGCUCGCCGUCGAUUCCAUCAAUCUGCAGGCUUAGAUAUUUUCUUGCUCUUGUAAUGUUUGAUAAAAUGUCUGUGGGCUAAAUCAUCGUAUUUUUUUUUGGUUUCCUUGCCUGUCCAGGUGAUUUGCUCGAUCCCUCGCUGUUGGUUCUGUCAAACUGCAAGGUGAGAUGUGCUCUCAUAUGCCCCCUUACUUCGUUGGUUCUUUCUAUUGCAAGAAGGUGCGACUUUGUUUGCUCACGGUUUCCCUGGUGGUUCGCUUCCUCCUUGCUUAUUGGAGAAGAUAUUUGUACAUUUUGGUUUGUGUGCAUGCUUGUGUGCUGACGUCGGUUUUCAGUGCCCUGCAGUGCCAAUUUAGGUUGGUUCUUGGGUGGAACCAAUAUGAUUGUUGCUUACUGAUUGGUAGGCAUGGUGACUGUUUGCGUUAGUGCUUUGGAAAGUAUGUGUGCAGUGGAUAGUGGUUGCUGCUUCGUGAUGAAGACAAGGCCGUCUACUUACGCUAAUAUUUAAUCUGUGUGCUUCAUAAUGAAAUUACCACCUGCUCAUUUUUUAUGUAUGUGCCACCCAAUGGUUGCUCGUGCCUAAUUAUAUGGAUGAUGGGCAUAUGCAUGCUUGCUCUGUGGGUUAUCUGCUUGUUGUUUUUAUGCAUCUUCUCUUGAUUAAUUUUUGUUUCCUUAUUGCCCACUGAUUCCGUCUAUAACAUGCUGCUAGGUUCUUCGUUCAGCUGGAUUGUAGGUUGGCUCCAGUCCUUGACCAGUUCUUCUGCAAGGAGAGUUUCAGUGCUCAGCAUAUUGCAGUCAUUGCAGCAGCGAGUUUUAUGAACCACCUCAAUGGAGGGGACAUAGUCAAUGACAAUCUCCUCCCAUUUAAUUAGAUGGUUUGCCAGUUUCUUCCUGUAGAUAGUAUCACAAUGAUGCGAUUCAGAUGUUUAUAAUUCUUUUCUAACAUUACAUGUUCUUGUAGUCAUUCAUUUUGAAACCACGGAGGCCGUCGCAUUAUGCAUUGGUUAGACUAGGUAAUUUCUGUUAAGGCUAUAAUUUUUCUAUCAAUAUGCCAAGAUCGACUGUUCGCCUCACCUUUAUUCUGCAAAUGCCAAAAUGUCCAGAACAUAAAUUUCAAGCUUUUAGACCUUACAUAUGUUAUGAACUUAUGAAGUUAUGAUAUAUGUCUAAAUUCAGCUGGAUCUUUAAUUAAAUCCUGAAUUAUAGAUGUUUUAUCCUUUUCUACAUCUGAGUAUACACUAAUUAGUUAAACCUUUUCUUCUCCGGAUCUGCAUUCCACUUGUACUAAUUGCCAGAUUAUAUAUGUGUUUGUGUUCAUUCUUAAUUAAAAUUAGACCUAGCUGUAUAUACUACAAAAUUUGUUAAACUUGCGCUGGGCAGGUUUCCAUGAUGAGUUCGUAGCCUUUACGAAGUUGCUGCCGCUUGUUUUCUGUAAUCAUUGCUCAAAAAAAUUGAUUCUUGCAUCUAACCCUGAUCCUGAUGGUGCAGCUCACUGUUUUUUCUCUUGCCAUCAUCUCCAAUAGUGUCGAGUCCCCUUCCUGGCGCCAAUUGCAACACAUAUCUCCUUUGACUGAUUAGCCAUUGUUUCCUACAGCCGGUUUAGUUUUGUCUCGAACAUCCGUUUUCUUUGAGAUUUGUUUUUGUCGUGUGCUGAUUAUUUAGACAUCCUCGCUGCCACCACAACCUAUCCAAGCAAGCAACAGAUCGAGGAGGACGGAGGCACGGCACGACGACGACCGUGGCAUGGAUCAAGAGCAUGCUCAUGGGCUCAUGGCCUGGGAGCGAAUCGGGCAUCCUGGAUCAUGAGGGAAGCGGGAAGCCGCGGGGGCUGCCCGAAGAAGAGGGCGACGAAUUGGGGGUGGAAGAGGGUGUGUCUGUGGUUAUCUCCUUCCAAGACGACGCGACUUGAUGAUUUAGAUUCGCCUUCCGAGACGAUGCGACGCGGCAAUUCAGAUUUCUCUCCUUCCUCGCCUCAACGACAUGCUCUGCUUCUCUAGCUUGUAGGGGUAUGAGGAGAGAGCUCUAUUGUUUGCAGCGGCUGCAUCAUUUCGACAAGUGAUAUGAUUGAUCUUUGCUAUGUGGACCAAUGGCAUGAUCUGUACCUAAGGUUGGAGAUGCUGAAUUCGGUAAGAAAAAGAUGACAACCAUUUGCUUGUUUUUCACUUCUUUAGGGAUAUGAGGAGAAAGCUCUAUUGUUAGUCAGCUACUUCCAUUUAGGAUGAUUAAUUAUUUGCAUGAAGGUUGAGAGAAUGGCCUUUAUUGCCUUACAGUCCAACUGGUAAACAGAACAGUGCCUUACAUAAGCACUAAUGGCGAUAUUAUAUAUUUAUAUGUAUAUGUUUUCUUUAUGCAGAACACGUAAGAAAUCACUGAUGCGCAUGGCUGGCAGCUUUCGCACGAAGAAGUAAAAUUGGCAGGUGCUUUUCUCUACUUUCUAAUAUUAUCCAUAUAUCACAGGGCAAUGAUAGUUAGUUUUAGCAGGGGUUAGUGGUUCAUCGUAAUUUUUCUAGCUUCUUUUGUCCUUCAAAUGAUACAGAAGGCAGUCAAGUUCCAUCCUCUAAUUUCUUGUGAUCUUUGUAGGACCAAUUAGGAUGCAUACCUGAAGGAGUGAAUCUACUGGUUCAGCUGAAAAUUGAUCUCUAUUUGGUUUUUGAUUUUGCGUUUGGUUUUGCCGUCCGCUCGUCCUCGGUAUGCUCAUCCAUCUUGGCUGCUCUGCUUGCCUGCUUCUCCUCUCUAACUCAGGUAAAUGGACCGUUCUUUAAUUUGUUUGGGAACGACUCUUCUUUUACCUGUCUAUUCCAUAGCAUGCCGGUGCACUGACCACUUCAUGUCCAUUUAUUUAUUAGGUUCUGCGAUCUCUUGUGUUGCUGCAUCGCGAUCUUCUGCUUUGUUGCAUCUCUGUUCUGUCAUCGAGGAGGGAGCAGCAGGCAUAGAAGAAAUCGCAAGCCAAUUUUGCUCAGCUGUAGCAUCUUCCACUGACAAUAAGUCUGCACAGCAGCCCGGCUGAUGUUCUUGCUCAGUAUAAGCCAACAAUGAAGAAACUGACCAAGCUAUCUUUCAUGAUCAGUUACACACCAAGCCUAUAUUUUUGCUACUUCUACAUGUUGCUAUGAUGGCCAUUCAGCCCAUUUUCUUGAACCUGCACUACAACGAGAGAUCUGGGCAGCUUCUUUGUGGCUUCCAAACUUGAAAUGUUUGUUUGGAAGUUAGUGUAGUUUUUUGUUGCGGAUUCACAGCUUCUCACAUGUACCGUCCUCUUAGAUCUUCAGAUUUCCAAAGAAACUAAAUGAAGAUAUAGUGGUAUGGUCUCAAUAGUACAACUUAAAGCCCUCCAUGCCUUAUAUUUCCUCUGAAAUUUGCUCUUGAAGAAUCAUGUAUCUAUGUUAGAUCCGGUGA